CAGGCUUGGUUGGAGGAAGAAAGCUCAUUCAGGCUGGAGGCUGAGAAGGCCAAGGAAGCAGAGCAGGGAGCAUCCUACGCUCGUGUUCAGUACGAAA
rnacentral:SRP_RNA from 1 species